rnacentral:rRNA from 1 species
UACAUGAGCAAAAUCUCAACUUUAUUAGAAGAGACGCAUUUAUUAGAUAAAAAGCCAAUGCAUGCUUUUACAGUAUGGAAAUUGGUGAUUUAUAAUAACUUGGCAAAUCGCAAAGUGAAAACAGGCGAUAAAUCAUUCAAGUUUCUGACCUAUCAGCUUUCGACGGUAUGGUAUUGGCUUACCGUGGCAGUGACGGUUAACGGGGGAUUAGGGUUCGAUUCCGGAGAGGGAGCCUGAGAAACGGCUACCACAUCUAAGGAAGGCAGCAGGCGCGCAAAUUACCCAAUUCUAACAGUUUGAGAGAGGUAGUAACAAGAAAUAACAAUACAAGGCAAUUAAAAUGCUUUGUAAUUGGAAUGAUAGAAAUUUAAACCCUUUUUAAAGUAUCAAUUGGAGGGCAAGUCUGGUGCCAGCAGCCGCGGUAAUUCCAGCUCCAAUAGCGUAUAUUAAAAUUGUUGCAGUUAAAAAGCUCGUAGUUGAAGUUCUGCUAAAAGUAACCGGUCUGCUUUUAAUAAAAGUGGUAUCUUGGUGUGUAUUUAGCAAUGAUGUCCUUUGAAGUGUUUUUUACUUUAUUGUAAUAAAGCAUAUUCAGGAAUUUUACUUUGAGAAAAUUAGAGUGUUUCUAGCAGGCCGACGCUUUGAAUACUGCAGCAUGGAAUAAUAAGAAA